rnacentral:rRNA from 1 species
UCCGGUUCUCGUUAGAUCACCGAAGUCAAGCAGCAUUGGGCGCGGUUAGUACUUGGGUGGGUGACCACUUGGGAACACCGCGUGCCGUU